CGGCGCCCCCCAUCACCAAGCACAGCGGCAAAAGCAUGAGCCGAGCGAGACCUCCGAAGCUCAGUGCGAGAGAGAGAGGAACUGGGAGUGUACGGACCGUACGGGGAGCUGACUGGCUCGACCGCGCUUCACUGUCCCCUUUGGCUCACUGUUGCAUACGUCAUCCUACAAGCCACCGGAGAGAGAGUGAUGCCACCACGGACUAGCUGUGUUGAGAUCUGCGGCUGCCGGGGGCCCCCCGGGGCCGACCCCCUACCCCCCGCGGACGAGUAAAACAUCUCCUCCGUUUAUCGAACCCCUCAAUUCGACUGACG
rnacentral:lncRNA from 1 species